GACGAACGCUGGCGGCGUGCUUAACACAUGCAAGUCGAGCGGUAAGGCCCUUUCAGGGGUACACGAGCGGCGAACGGGUGAGUAACACGUGGGUGACCUGCCCUCAGCUCUGGGAUAAGCCCGGGAAACUGGGUCUAAUACCGGAUAUGACUCCAUGACGCAUGUUGUGGGGUGGAAAGCCUUGUGCGGCUGAGGAUGGGCCCGCGGCCUAUCAGCUUGUUGGUGGGGUGAUGGCCUACCAAGGCGACGACGGGUAGCCGGCCUGAGAGGGCGACCGGCCACACUGGGACUGAGAUACGGCCCAGACUCCUACGGGAGGC
rnacentral:rRNA from 1 species